AACGAACGCUGGCGGCAUGCCUAACACAUGCAAGUCGAACGAGGGCUUCGGCCCUAGUGGCGCACGGGUGAGUAACGCGUGGGAACCUGCCCUGUGGUACGGAAUAACUCCGGGAAACUGGAGCUAAUACCGUAUGCGUCCUGCGGGACAAAGAUUUAUCGCCAUGGGAUGGGCCCGCGUAGGAUUAGCUUGUUGGUGGGGUAACGGCCUACCAAGGCAACGAUCCUUAGCUCGUCUGAGAGGAUGAUCAGCCACACUGGGACUGAUACACGGCCCAGAGUCCGACGGGAGGCAGCAGUGGGGAAUAUUGCACAAGGGGCGCAAGCCUGAUCCAGCAAUGCCGCGUGAGUGAUGAAGGCCUUCGGGUUGUAAAGCUCUUUCGCACGCGACGAUGAUGACGGUAGCGUGAGAAGAAGCCCCGGCUAACUUCGUGCCAGCCGCCGCAGUAAUAC
rnacentral:rRNA from 1 species